GUGGGGAAUAUUGGGCAAUGGGCGAAAGCCUGACCCAGCAACGCCGCGUGAAGGAAGAAGGUUUUCGGAUCGUAAACUUCUAUCCUUGGUGAAGAUAAUGACGGUAGCCAAGAAGGAAGCCCCGGCUAACUACGUGCCAGCAGCCGCGGUAAUACGUAGGGGGCAAGCGUUGUCCGGAAUGAUUGGGCGUAAAGGGCGCGUAGGCGGCCCGGUAAGUCUGAAGUGAAAGUCCUGCUUUUAAGGUGGGAAUUGCUUUGGAUACUGUCGGGCUUGAGUGCAGGAGAGGUAAGCGGAAUUCCCGGUGUAGCGGUGAAAUGCGUAGAGAUCGGGAGGAACACCAGUGGCGAAGGCGGCUUACUGGACUGUAACUGACGCUGAGGCGCGAAAGUGUGGGGAGCAAACAGGAUUAGAUACCCUCUGUAGUCC
rnacentral:rRNA from 1 species